ensembl:lncRNA
AUUGCAUGCAUACAGCAAUCCCAUGUGUUUAUAUGAAACGCCAGUUUAUCAUACAUGCUCUCCAAGGCUACAAAGAAACUUAGAUAGGAGCUCAAUUGCAAUGGUUUACACCUGACCUAAUAAAGAGCUCUGUGAUGAAGCUAUCACAGUAAUUAAAGACAUCUACCUCCAAAUUACUCAUCCUGGUAUCUCUUAUAGCUACUGGAGAGCACUUGCAUAAUGUCUGUCAUCUUAAACUGUAGCAGCCAUCUGAAAUACUCUAAAAGCGCCUGUUUCUGUCCAUUAACAAUAACCAUAAGUUUCCGAAGAUAGAUUCCACCUUGCCAGUGUAGCUACAGCUAAAUCCUUCUUUGCAGGAAGCAAAGCAGAUAAAAAAGAGGCAGAAAACAGGGACAAUGGACUAUGGUUGAUGGGCAGCAUCUUCAUCACUUCCCUCCGGCAAGGACGGGACAGAAGAAUCACUAUAGAGCCAGUGUCUGCACAUCUCUCUGACUUCUGCUCCACUCCUCAAGGGGAGAUUUGCACUUCUUCCUCCAGACGUACUUGACCAGUGAUGGUUCUGUCAUUCAAUGAAAGGUAAAACUUCCAUGUGUCUGAAGCCAAGCAACUGCAGAACUUCUGAGGAUGAAACACGUGAUGUCUGUGCUACUUGCACAGCUGACAACAUCAGGGCCUGUCCACCCCUGACUCCAGACGGAGGAAAAAUGUGUGUUAAGCCCUUCUACGCAUUAGAAGAUCCAUACAAAGGACUCCAGAAAACUUAUAGACAGAGUCAAUUAAGGCCUUUUCUUUUCCUCAUGAUUCUCAUUAUUGGAUUCUCACAAAAUUGGAUCCCACUUUACCGUGCCUUCAAAGGGACUCUUGUUAAAGCAAAUUGCAGCGCUCAGCAUCUUGCAGGUUUUAUUCCCAAGUAAAAAGCUCAUUGCAAAAUGUAGCAGACAGACACAUCCCUUGGGUCCCUGACUCUUCCUGAAAGAGUCUGGAACCAUAAAGCUUCCAGAAUCAGAUUUUCAUAAGUUGAAGCCUAAGGUUGUAGAGGAUCUUCUCAUGCACAGUUACAAUUGCAUAUGCAUAGCUGGCUUUUGUACAUACAAAUGGAGUCUGUUCACUAGUGCAUGGCUCAAAGGAAUCUAGACAGCUAUACAAAAACACACAUGAGUCUCAGUUUUUGUUUUAUGAGGUGAAUUAAGUGAAGGGGGAAGAAGAAGGUGAUGGGAAAAAGAUGAAAUUCAGACCUCAUCAAAGUCAAGGGUAGUUUUCCUAUAGACUUCAAAAGAUUCAAAACUUCAUCUGUUACAUUUAUGUCCUACUGAACCCAGAGAUAUGCUCAGAAACAGGUUUCAACCUCAAUUCAUUUGGCAGACCAACUUCUUCCUGGUUGAAUGGUGGAAGCACUGACAAGAAUCUCAAAAGAAAAUUUUACUGUGAUCUAAAUCAGCAGUUCCCAAUUUCUUCUGGCUGUCUGGGAAAAUACUUCAUUUUAAGAGCCAGUGAGAGCCUUCUACCCCAGCACUUAAGAACAUACAUAGCCCAAGCUAGAUUGUUCAUGGAGUUCGCCAUUGGGCUUGCAUGAAAACUAGCACUAUGUUUCCCAGAAAUUGUGAAUUUGCUAUGCAAUUCAUUCCCAAGCUCCCCCAGCAGCUAUUCCUGGGUAUAGGUUGCAAGCUGGACAAAUUGAGUUUGCAGGCUGUAUUUAGCCUGUACCUUGCAGAAUGGAUGUUUUUCCUCCAAGUUUGCACCAAUGUGACUAAGGACUAUAAACUGUCUUUCAGCAGUGGCUUACAUCUUUCUUUUGGGAAGAGAAGUGGGGGGAAAUGUGAAAAAAGUUCCCCUCCUGUUGUCAAAUUAAACCUUGGUCUAUGCAAGUCCAGCAUUGCCGACACUGCCAGACUUGCAAACUGAGUAAAAGCCUGGCCACACUAAAGUUGAAGGCAAAACUCCCUUUGACUUUAUUAGAGUCUAGAUUUCACAACAAGUGUUAGGGGACUGUGACCACAAGACUGAGGCAAAGGCAAAGUAAAAGCAAGAACAGUUUCCUCACUGCAAUCCAGAGAAAAUGCAUGGUUCUCCAGGGCAAUAAGACGAGCAAUAAAAAUAUAAAUAAAUAUAUAAAUAGAUUAAAU